UACGAAGGGGGCUAGCGUUGCUCGGAAUUACUGGGCGUAAAGCGCACGUAGGCGGCUUUCUAAGUCGGGGGUGAAAUCCUGGAGCUCAACUCCAGAACUGCCUUCGAUACUGGAGAGCUCGAGUCCGGGAGAGGUGAGUGGAACUGCGAGUGUAGAGGUGAAAUUCGUAGAUAUUCGCAAGAACACCAGGUGGCGAAGGCGGCUCACUGGCCCGGGUACUGACGCUGAGGUGCGAAAGCGUGGGGAGCAAACAGG
rnacentral:rRNA from 1 species